CCAAAUCACGUUGCAACUCCGGUUCCCGUAUGAUCAGCAAAGUUAAGCAAAGUCGAACCUGGUUAGUACCUAGUUGGGUGACCGCUUGGGAAUACCAGGUGCUAU